rnacentral:tRNA from 1 species
GCGCCAGUAGCUCAGUUGGAUAGAGCGUAUGCCUCCGGAGCAUAAGGUCGUGGGUUCGAAUCCCUCCUGGCGUA